AGGACUCCCAGCUGGACUGAAGCUGCACCAGUUGUACCAUCCUGGGCUACAGGAAUGGAAACUUGAGCAUGAUCGUCCGUUUCUGCCUGCACUUCGCCCCCCAGGAUUCCCAGCCCCUGAGCUCCAGCAUGAAGGAGGAAGCUCUCAGGCAUGGGCUGGCAGCUGCCCUGCACGAGCAGGGGCUCUCCCUGGCUGCCUAUGGGACUAUAUCCUCAGCUUCUCUUACAGGGAGCUGCCCUAGAGACACGUUCACUUGCCUCAACACCCAGUGCA